GCAUUUAGUUGAAGCUGCAGGGGAGUGAGGGAGAGGAGGAUAGGAAGCAGGAAAGCGGGAGAGCUCGAGGGACAAGGGGGCUCGGUGUGUUUACACCAGGCACGGGCUACGAGCGUCCAUCCCGGCCCCUGGCUUGCGCUCCCGAAGAGGAGAGCAAGGCUGUUCUGGGAUCCGGCCGUCGUGCGGCAAGAGGCUUGUCUGUCCGGGUUGCCGGAACCAGGAGAACCCAGAGGGAAACCGAGGGAAAGGAGCGGCGCGUUUUACUAGAGAGAGCGCGAGCGGAAGAGGCGAGAGCAGGAGCGCGCGAGGGAGCAUCGAGCGCAGCGGAGACAUGAGGACCUACUGGCUGCACAGCGUCUGGGUGCUGGGCUUUUUCCUGUCCCUCUUCUCAUUGCAAGGUAGGGGGAGGAUUCCCUGACCCCUUGCGCCCCCUCCUCCCUGCCGCCGGGCUCCGGGGUGGUCGGUGGAGUAAGAAGCGCUCCGGUUCUGGAUGGAACAGGGUUUAUUUACAAGUCCUGCGGUGCGCUCCCUGCCCUGCCAGCUCUGCGCCCAGGCUGGGUCCUGAGGCGUGCGGGAUUGUGCGGACAGACUUGCUGCAACAUCGGUGUUGAUGGGGAAAGAAGCCAGGGCUUGUGUGUGUGUGUGUGUGUGUGUGUGUGUGUGUGUGUGUGUGCGCGCGCGCGUGUGAACGGGGGGCAGGAUAGAGCGGCGUGUUUUGUGUGUGUGUGUGUGUGUGUGUGUGUGUGUGUGUGUGUGUCUUGGUGGGGUGGGGGCUUUUGCGCGAGGUGGUGGCGACGGAGCUGGGGUUGCUCCUCUGUAAACUCCAAGAGCCGCGGUGGUGUUCGCUAUCCCCGUGUCCCCGGUGCUGAUAUCACUGCAUUCCUCCUCUUUCAGGAGGGAAUUGGCAUUAAGUUUAGGAGGCUAGGUAUCCGCUUGGCACCUGGUACUUGUAUCUCUCUGCAAAAUAGCCCCACCAGAUUCUUCUGCCCCGAGAUGGAGGAGGGAUGCGGGAGGGAAGGGAACGAUCACCUAGCUCCUGACUGAUCAUGGCAGACCUCAAGCAGACACUGAAGAGAGGCAUGCUGGGCACAUGAACAGCAUAGCCAGGAAGAGACGGUAAAGGCAGUGAGAUGAUUGCUUGCUGAGUCUCACAUCAUCCAAGGUGUUCAAUGGCGUGCCAAACUUAAAUCUUAGAGAGAAUAGACAUAGUUUCUGUAGCUACUGCCAUCUGAGCAUUAAAUUUGACCAACAUAGGAGCCUCCAGAACCAGCUUAUUCAUGGAAAUGGCAUCAUUGUGCUUUUGGGCAUUCUCUUAGUUAUGGCCAGACUCUGACAAUGCACUGAGAGAUGUUAACAUAUUCCCUAUGGCUUGUUUUGAGCAUGAGGAGGUGCAAUUCCAAAUAGUAGGAACGAAGUAGAUUUUAUAGACCUGAGAUGAGUGGAAUAGGAUGCAGGGACAAGUCUCCAAAGCAAGUAAUGAGUUAAAUCAAAUGUCCUCAUCCCUUGGCCAAAACUUGUAGCAGACAAGAAGUGCUGGAUCAGUAACUAAAGGCCAGCCCUGGAACAUAUUUUUAAUCUAAUAAGGAUAAAUAAUUUCUGAAUCAUGAGGCUGAGGUGUUCCAUACCUCUAUGCCAUAGCUAGUAUUAUAGCUUAGGAACUAGAGUAUAUCUUAGUGUACAGAGGAAGCCAUUAGUGGGAGGCAAUAUGGAUAUGAUGAAAGAGCAUAGGCUUUGGGGUCAGAAAGGCCUGGAUUCAAAUGCCUAUUCCAGCCUUUGAUAACUGUAUGACAAUUGUCGAAUCUCUUAACAUCCAGGCUUUUCUUUGCUUUUCUAUAAUAUGGAAUUAAUAAUUUCUACCUCAAAAUAUUAAAUGA
rnacentral:lncRNA from 1 species